rnacentral:rRNA from 1 species
UGGGGAAUUUUCCGCAAUGGGGGCAACCCUGACGGAGCAACGCCGCGUGGGGGAGGAAUGUCUGUGGAUUGUAAACCCCUUUUCUCUGGGAAGAAGGACUGACGGUACCAGAGGAAUCAGCAUCGGCUAACUCCGUGCCAGCAGCCGCGGUAAUACGGAGGAUGCAAGCGUUAUUCGGAAUUAUUGGGCGUAAAGCGUCCGCAGGUGGUGCCUCAAGUCUGCUGUCAAAGACCGAAGCUCAACUUCGGGCAGGCAGUGGAAACUGAAGCACUAGAGUACGGUAGGGGUAGAGGGAAUUUCCAGUGUAGCGGUGAAAUGCGUAGAGAUUGGAAAGAACACCAGUGGCGAAGGCGCUCUACUGGACCGUAACUGACACUCAGGGACGAAAGCUAGGGGAGCGAAAGGGAUUAGAUACCCCCGUAGUCC